AUCUAUACUCUAUGGUUUUCUGAGUCGCGCUGGUCGCUCUAGCCGCCCGUAACUUUUACUUCCAGGCGUGUUUAUGGCAGCUCUGAGGUGAGUGAGUUGCGCUCAGCGCGUGAAGAGGAUCUGAGUUUUUGCGACGCCGCCCUCGCGACCCGCAUGUUCGAGGAGCCUGAGUGGGCCGAGGCGGCCCCAGCAGUCAUGGGCCUCAGUCCCGUAACCUCACAGCCUGCGCCAGCGGCAGCUGCACAGAUAAAGGGCUCCAGACACCGUCAGCUCUUGGCCACCCUACGAGUUCUGGAAGCAGCAUCUCUUUCUCAGCAAUCCAUCAGCCUCCCCAGCAGUGACUCUGAGGAGGAGGUAGAAAAAAAGAAGAAACAUCCCAAAAAGUCCUCAUUUGCUAAUACCUCUGCCAAAAUAGGGAAGAAAAGGAAAAAAUGUCAAAAUCUGGGCCCACCUCAAGGUGACUGUGAGGACCACAAAGUAGAAAAAAAGAAAUGCUGCAAACAAGCUCUUCUGGGUAGUGACUCUGCCAAAGAAGAGAAAAGAAAGAAAAAAUGCUGGAAACAGGCUCUUUCAACUCCUGCCCAGCACCUAGACAGUGUCGACCAAACAGGUCUCAAAUCCCAGAAGAGUAGUAUUACAAAUGAUUCACCCAAGCCAAACCCUGAGUCCAAUUUCUCUAAGCCUCCCAAUACCUUAACCCGGAAGCAGUGGCGGAACCGGCAGAAGAACAAGCGGAGACACAAGAACAAAUUUCGGCCACUCCAGGCAUCACAGAAGAUUUCUGCUGAGGCCUCCAAGGUCUCUACAGAAGAGUCAGAGGUGCCUCCUGCCCCCAAACCAGACAACCAUGAGGCUCGAGCAGAGGCCCUUCGAGCCCGCAUGGCACAACGGCUGGAUGGGGCCCGAUUUCGCUACCUUAAUGAGCAGCUGUACUCAGGGCCUAGCAGUGCUGCGCAACGGCUGUUCCAGGAAGACCCUGAGGCUUUUCUCCUCUACCAUCGUGGCUUCCAAAGCCAAGUGAAGAAGUGGCCACUACAGCCAGUAGACCGCAUCGUCAGGGAUCUUCGCCAGCGGCCUGCAUCACUGAUAGUAGCUGACUUUGGCUGUGGAGAUUGCCGCCUAGCUUCAAGUAUCCGGAACCCUGUACACUGCUUUGACUUGGCCUCACUGGACCCCAGAGUCACUGUGUGUGACAUGGCCCAGGUGCCUCUGGAGGAUGAGUCUGUGGAUGUGGCUGUGUUUUGUCUUUCCCUGAUGGGAACCAACAUCAGGGAUUUCCUGGAGGAAGCAAAUCGAGUGCUGAAGCCAGGGGGUCUCCUGAAAGUGGCUGAGGUCAGUAGCCGCUUUGAGGAUGUUCGGACCUUUCUAGGGGCUGUGACCAAGCUGGGCUUCAAGGUCAUCUCCAAGGACUUGACCAACAGCCACUUCUUCUUGUUUGAUUUUGAAAAGACAGGCCCCCCUCGGGUAGGGCCCAAGGCUCAACUUGCAGGCCUGAAGCUUCAACCAUGUCUCUACAAGCGAAGGUGACCUCUGAACAUCCCCGGAAACAGGAGCCAGGAUGCAGACUCCAGGCUGUAAAUCUGAAGACUGUGUCUAGUCAGGCUAUGAGCCAGGACCUGCCUUUCCUCUGUCCCAAGGACAAGGUCCCCCAUGGCUUCCUGAAGCACAUGUUUUAAAGUAACAGAAUGAUGACGGAGAAGUGUGCAUAGAUGAAGUAUUACUUGGAGAAGAGGUGCUUGACUGGGAAUAUCUACAUUGGAUUUUGAACAAAAAUCGCACCACCGGUCCCCCACAGUUGUAUCAUAUGGUUUCCUGACCGGGAAUGGCAGAUGAGAGACUCCUGGGGCUUUCCCAGUUUGAGUCCCCUGCCGUUCAGGACCAGAACCGGACUUCAUCCUGCAUUGAUUCCUCACUUUCUACACUCAGGAGCUGUAAACUUGUCACUGCUCGCUUGCAAACAACACUGACCCAGUUUACCACAGAGAUAACAGUGACACUUGGAGUUCUGAGACAGGUAAACCGACACAAGAUGGAGCUGCCUCCCCUCCCCCCGCCAUGGACCAUGCCUCAAAUGCAGCAGAAGACAUUGGGCAAGAGAGUGCCCUAUCCUGGCAUUCUUUGAGACGUUAGCCUAGGGCUACUGGACUGUCCUAGCCACCAGAGAGUGGGUAAGCUCUAGCCCUCACAGGAAAUGCCAACAGUGCCAGACUCAUCACUGACAGAUCUGCUUAAACUUGCUGCUGAAGACUGACGGGCUCAGGGCCAACAACAGUCCCCUUUAUGGGUGUCCAUCUCAGAGUCCAAGUCCCACUAAAAGUCUCAGGUAAGACAUUCUCUAUAUUUGUGGACAUAGAGGCCAUAUGUACAGAGUUCUUCCUGAGUUUUUAGGCUGCUAUAUUAAGUCCUCAACCUCUAGCAGGUAUUAAAGGUCAACCUAUGCCAUUUACAAACAGGGCCUAUUUUGUGCAGGUCCCAGACUGCUUCUUCCCAAUCCACCCAGUGGUGCCAAAUCUUCCCUCCACCACUCACUCUUCAGUCCUAAAUCUUAAAAAUGCUUUUUCUUCCUUUGUGUUUACACAGGCUGACUUAGACACACUGAGGCCUCAACAGCUUACACCUGUUAUCGCUAGUAAACCUCUCCUCAGUGAUAUAAGACCACCACCUUCCUUUCUUAUUCACCAAUUUCUCAGACAACCCUGGUCAAGACUGACAGAUAAAUUUUGUCUUCUCACUUUGUUUAUACUUUUUCAGGAUACAUAAUAGUCUUUCACACAACCAGGGAGACUGCUGAUAUACUUGCUAAAGUCCUAUUACAGAAAAUCAUUCCAAGGACUACAACCAGGUUACAGUGACCCAUACCUGAUAUUCUUGGCAACCUCAACAGUGAUCAAAGUUGCUAGACUGCCAUUCUGGUUUCACAUCACUCAGGCCCUAGAUCUAACCAUCCUUUUGCCUACUCAUCUCUGUCUUACCAAGGCCUCACAGCCACGACUCUCAGGCUGUCAUGUUUUGUUAUCCAGUUUGGUUUCUAAUUUCUUAUUCUUUUUAUAGCAGGACUCUUAACAGUAUUUCCUACAGACUCCAACAUCAUGCAUACCAGAGACAAGCCUUACCCUUUUAACUUUUACCCUUUCAGAUGGGGGAGUGGUAGUCACCUCUCAUAACUGCACUCCUUCUAACCCCACAUUUAUUUUUCAGAAUUCUACCUCACUGUGACAAUGAUCCUACCUUAACGUGGUCCUGAUAUAAUGACAUGUCUAAAUCAAAGGCACCUUUCCUUUUACCUCACCUGGGUCCUUAAAUAUGACAGUACCAUGCCUCCUCAUAACAUCUAGUCUCUUUGUUUUUCCAGUCUAACAUACAUAUGUUAGACUGGCAUUCACCAGUGAAGUUGUCCUGGCUAAAACACCUGGCACCAGCUUCUACCUGGGCAUCAACUGUCAUCCCGUCGACUCCCCUAGACCCCAGUACAGUGCCCUUUACAGCAGGAAUCAGUUAAAGAAAGAAAUCUUCACCCCUUUUCAUAAUCAUAAGAUGGGAUAUGAAAGAGUUUUGGCCCAGACAGGACACUGUAGCUGGUAAAGCCUCAGGUGGAACCAAGGAGCUCCAUCUCCCCCACCUCUAGGAAUUUACCUCUGGUGCCAAACAAGUGCCAAUGGGCUACCUAUGCAUCACUAAUGCCCCUUAGGUUCCACCCCAAACCUAGACUACUUAUAUGCCCCCACUCCACAUGUUCCACAGAGAGAUCGCUGACCCCAGGGGGAGAUGUCAUGCCCCAGAGGAUCGGGGGUGUCUCUCCCCACAUUCUCAAAAUAAAGGUCAUUUAUAUUUCAUACUUCUUAUCUUUUCAGCCGCCAUUGGUCCCCACAGUUCUAUCACACAUCACACAAGUUAAAUACUAAUUUUGAUUGUGACCCACAAAAAUCCACUUAAUAUCUGCCAGGCAUGAUGUGCACACCUAUAAUCCCAACACUUGGGAGGCUGAAACAAGAGGAUUGCUGCAAGUUUGAGGCCCAGCCUCAACUGCAUAACAAGACCCUAACUCAAAAGAAAACUAAACAAGAAUACCUUCAGACCAACAUGGUAGUAUAUGCCUAUAAUCCUAGCACUCUAGGAAACUGCGACAGAAUCAAGUAACUCAGCAAGAACCUGUCUCAAAAUAAAAGACAGAGCUAGAGAUGUAGCUCCAUGGAAAGACCUGAGUUCAAUAUCCAACAUUACCACUACCACCAGAAAAAAAGCCUUACUACAGGUGUGGUACAUAUCUGUAAUAUCAGAAUUUGGGAGGCUGAAACAGGAGACUGGAAAGCCUGAGAUCAGCCUAACAUACAUAGUUAGACUCUGUCUCCAAAAAGAAAAAUAAAACAAAACAAAAAAAAGACUUGAUAACUAGAUCCUUGGGCCAGGGAUUAUGGCUCAAUAGCACAGCACCUGCCUGGCAAGCAUGAGGUUGAGAGUUUGAUUUCCAGUACCAAAAACAAAAAUAGAUCCUUUUUGUUUCUUUUGGUUUCUUGAAUCUUAUGAUCCAAGAUGUGUUCUUGAUUAAGCAAGGCACCCUACAUGUUGCUAGAUUUCUUGGGAUUGUCAUAGAUUCCCAAAGACUGUACCUUUCUUUUUGGUUUCACUUUAAGAGUCCCUAUGUUAGUAGUACUCUUUGUAUAAAUAUGUUCUGUUAUUCUCUAUAAGGUGAAAGUCCAAUCUAAAAUAUUUUUUUUAAAUUUUAUUUUAUUUUAUUUUUGUCUUUUUCAUUUUUAUCGGUACCGGGGAUCGAACUCACGACCACCUGCUUGCAAGGCAGGUGCUUAUGCCACUGAGCUAAAUCCCCAGCCCCUCAAUCUAAAAUAUUAAUACUUUAAAUCCUUCCUCAUUUUUCCUCUAUCGCAGCAACUUGUUAGCAGCUAAUCCAGUUCCAAGCUGCUCUCUCUUCAGCUCAGGGCUAGAGGAACAUGGUCUCUCAUUCUUUAACCUUCUGUGUUGGCUCUAGAUUAGAAUGAGAGAGAUCAUAUUAGAGAAAAAAAAGACUACACUUAGGUGAUUAUUGUGUCACCAAUAUGUCACUGAGACAAGCAUUCAAAGACUGACGAACAUUUAAAUUCCCCUUAUGUAGUGUACUGGGGCUCUCUGAGCUCCCCAUGGGGACUUGUGCAGUAACCAACUUCGAUUGCCUGCAAGUGGUAUGUAGCCUCCAUUACUUCUCUGUUCCUAAUGGUAUCCACAAUCAUCUAGUGCUAAAGUGCCUCACCUAGCACUCCAGGGAAUGGUCCCUAAACAUACUCAAAACUGCCUUUCAAGGAACCCAUGGCAAACUUAAUGCAAAUUUGUCCUGCCAAACUGAAAGUACAGCUCAGCCAGACCCAGAGAAGGGUUUUUCUCUUUGCCCUGAUGCCUGUCUCUAUGCUCACAUGGCUCCAAAUUGGUCCCUCUUGUAUCCCCCAUAAUGCAUUUGGCAAUACUUCCCAGCUUCCUUCAUAAGUGUGGACAUGUGAGUCUAGUAGAUAGUAAUGAAACUUCAAGACUUGGGCCAUUAAAUUUCCUUAUUAUAGUUUCCCACGCUAUAUCCAUUUUGGCCAAUUUGAGGCUUUUGAGUAUGUGACCUUGAGAGCUUAAAGGUAGAAGGAGCCAGGAUCCACAAGCAGGCUUAAGAGACUUAUCCACUAAUUAGGAAUACCUGAUUUUGGCUUCAUGUGAGUGGGAUAUAAGUUGUUUUCCUUUCCUUCCUUUCUUGCUUGCUUUCUUUUUUCUUCCUUCCUUUGUCUUCUUUCUUCCUUUUUUUUUUUUUUUUUUUUUUUUUUUUUGUCUUUGAGACAGAAUCUCACUAUGCUGGUUUGAACUCACUUUGUAGUCCAGGCUGUUCUUGAACUCCCAAGCUAUCCUGCUACCUCAGCCUCCCAGGUGCUAGGAUUAUAGCUAUACUGGAUUAUAGCUACAUUCUUUGCCCUUUCCCUCUCCUUUUUUUUUGGUCAGACAGAGUCUUCCUAAGUCACUAACUUAAGGCUUGGGUUGAACUUUUUUUUUUUUUAUCGGUACCGGGGAUCAAACUCACGACCAUGUGCUUGCAAGGCAGGUGCUUAUGCCACUGAGCUAAAUCCCCAGCCCAAGGCUUGGGUUGAACUUAUGAACCUCCUGCCACAACUUCCACACCACUGAGAUAUCACUGAGAGUAUGGUCAUGAAUCACCACAUCUAGCUUAUCUAAUUACUUUUACCCCAUUAAUGAAGCAAGUAAUAGGUUUAUUUUCUUAUAUGAAAUGAACCUUGAGUUCUGGGAAGAAAAUUUAGUUUGUUCUUACCCACUUUAUAUAUUGCUGAAAUCAGCUCGAUAUUUUAUAUAGGACUUUUGUGUCUAUGCUCAUCAGUUUAAGUAUUUUGCUGCAAAUUAUUCUCAUGUAACAAUGCCUUAAGAUUUAUGUUGCUAUAUAUACCUAUAACCCUGUAAUUCACUUUCCCUUUUCUCCAAAUAUUCUAAGAACUUCCCAUCUUACUUACAGUACGAAGUCCUUACUGUAACCUACAGGGCCUUUAUUAUCUGUUACUUCUCUGACCUUGUCAGUAAUAUUCACCUCCUUGGGACAGUAUUAAUCAACCCAACAUGUCUAUAUGGAGAAGGCCAAGAGAGAAAGACGCUGUAAUACCUAAAUUUCAAUAGUCUUGAAAGUCAUGAACUUAAUGAUUCCAAAAUCUAGGAAUUUCAUUAUCACAUUGCUGAGAAAAACCAGGUGUGGUGGCACAUGCUGGUAAUCUUAGAACUUGGAGGCUGAAGUAAGAGGAUUGUCACAAGUUUAAGGCCAACCUGAACUGCAUGAUGAGACUUAUUUUGUUUUUUUUUUGUUCUUUUUGAGACAGGGUCUCACUAUGCAGUUCAGGCUGGCCUUAAACUCACUUUGUAGCCCAGGCUAGCCUCAAAUUUUCAGCCUUCCAAGUGCUGGGAUUACAGGUGUAAGCCACAAUGCCCUUUCACUGAGACCUUGUUUUAAAAAAAAAAUUGCUGAGAAAAUGUUGUAUAAGGGAUAAAUAUAGCUUUCUUUCAGCCAGAACCUCCAUCCUUCAUUAAUUUUCCAAAAUAAUGAACACAAUGAGGAAGAGGAGGGGAACCCAGUGUAUAUUCUCUAGGCCUUUUAGCAAACAUAGAAUUGUUCCUUUGGCCACAUACAUGGGAAUCUACAAAAAGGGUGACAUUGUAGACAUCAAGGGAAUGGGUACUGUGCAAAAAGGAAUGCCACAUAAAUGUCUCCAUGGAAAAACUGGAGGAGUCUUCAGUAUUACCCAAUAUGCUGUUGGCACUGGUGUGAACAAGCAAGUUAAGGGCAAGAUACUUGUUAAGAGGAUUAAUGUGUGUAUUGAGCAUACUAAACACUCAAAGAGUCGCAAUAGCUUCCUGAAAUAUGUCAAGAAUAAUAAGGAAAAUCAGGAGGCCAAAGAGAAAGGUACCUGAGUUCAACUAAAGCGCCAGACGGGGGGGCCCCCCCCUCCCCCACAGAGAAAGGCAUUUUCUGAGAACCAAUGGGAAGGAGCCUGAGUUGCUGGACCCUGUUCCCUAUGAAUUCAUGGCAUACUCUGCUGAUGGAGCUCUGCCAUUUGGUAACCUAAUUGGUGGCUAAGUGUUCUAGGCCCCACUUAACAAUAAAAAAAUCAUCCUGUGUUGUAAAGAUGGUUUUCUUAAUUGAACAGGUGUGGUGCCUUUACUUCAGAGACAAAUACUUGGAGCAGAUUUUCAUUCUACUUGGUUAAUUGUAUCAGGUCUUUACUCUUCAGUGUUUUUCUUGCUGAAAGAUAUUGUUGAGGUAUUCUGUAGGUGUGUAACCAAAUGGUCAAAUAUUUAUGAAAUAUUUCUUUUGGCUUGAAGAUCCUGUGAAUCACCAUGGGGAAAAGAUGUAUCAAAUUAAAAUGGAAGUCACUUCAGUUAGAUAAGUGGAAGUCCAUUUCAGUUAAAUAAAUUGUUUACAGAGAGAGAGAUAAAAAUAAGUGAAAACACUGAAGAAAAAGACACAUGUACUGGGAACAAGGAUGUGAUUAUAAGCAGACUUCUCAUCAAAAGCAAUGGGGAACAGAUGACAUUGGAAUAACAUAUUCAAAGUACUUUUAAAAAAUGGUUAAUCUAGAAUUCUACAUCAGGCAGAUUAGUAGUUUCCCAUACUCACACUGUAAGUGAAAGCAAAGACUUUUCAAGUUGCUGGAAGCUGGGGUAAUGAAACAAAAAACUUAUUAGUAACAGAUUUGAAUUAUGAAAUAGUGAGUUCUUUUGGCUAAGAAAAAUGAUACCAGAUGGUUACUUAGAUCCACAAAAAAGGCAACACCAGAAAUGAUAAAUAUCCACAUAAAUGUAAAAGUUUCUCUAAAUAUUUUAUUUCUUUAUAAGACAUGACUAGAGGGGGCUGGGGAUUUAGCUCAGCGGCAUAAGUGCCUGCCUUGCAAGCAGGCAGUCAUGAGUUUGAUCCUGGUACCGGUAAAAACGAAAAAGACAAAAGAAAAAAAAAAAAAAAAAAAAGAAGACAUGACUAGAAACUGGGCAUGCUGGCAUGCACCAAUAAUCCUAGCAGUUGGGAGACUGAGGCAGGAUGAUCACUACAAGUUCGAGACCACCCUGGGUUACAAAGUGGACUCAAGGCCAGCCUGAACUGUAUAGUGAGACCCUGUCUCAAAAAGACCAAAAAAAAAAAAGAAAGAAAAGAAAGUUCUCACCUUGCAGUUCAGGCUACCCUUAAACUUGUGACAAUCCUCUUGCCUCAGCUUCCCAAGUGCUGAGAUUACCCAUGCAUGCCACCACAACAGUCAGAAGUAGAAAACCUGAUAGCCUGCUAUCUACUGAAGAAAUAGAAUUAAAAGCCCCCCCCCCAAUUUCCCCAAAAACAAAACAGAAAAGUGACAUUACUGGCAAAUGCUGUCCACCAAGGAAAUCAAUCCUACACAAACUAUUUUAGAAAGCAAAAUAGGAGAGGGUACUUACCAACUUGGUUUGUGUGUGACCCUCUGAGAUAUAACACCAGGAGUGGAAUUGCUAGAACAUAAUAUAUUUAAUUAAUUUUACUAAACAAUGUCAGCACCCAACUCCUGCCCCCAGAGUAGCUUCACCACUGUACUCUACCAAUACUGCAAGAGUCUUGUUUUCUACUCUGUCUCCAACACUGGAUGUGACAAAGGCAAUGGAACACUACAGAGGUGAUGGAUUCUAGAGACAAAUAACUGGGUUUAAAGUUAUCAUUUUCUAUGUGACCUUGGAGAAUUUCUGAAUUUGUGUUUGUUUCUUUAGAGGAUAAUAAUAAUAUAUACUAGGAAUUUGUAGGUAUUAGUAGAUGAAAGUGGCACUUUUCUAUUUCAGGCAUUUCCCCAUUUGAUGUAAUUGCUGAAUGAAGAUUUCAAAUUAGAUUGAAACUUGCAUAAAGAAAUAUAUUUUAGAUAAGUAAAAGAACACAAGUCAAUGAGAAUUUUGGUAUUUAUUUAUGUAGAUAGUAUACAGAACAAGAUCACAAAUUUUCUCACAAAUGUGAACAUCUAAAACUUGUCAUCCCUGAUAUACUAAUUUUUCCCACAAAUUUCACCCUUAUUUUUUUCUCCACUGUAUAUUGGAAGAAGCUAGGCAUUUUUGUUUUUUUCCUCCUUCUUUUCAAAGUCUAUUUAUAUGUGUGGGCCACAGGGAGAAGAACAAGAAGCCAGCCCCUUCCUGUGAGUCAGCUCCUUGCACAGGCUGUGGGAGAACAACCAUAUUCCAGCCCAUUCCUGUGAGUCAGCAUCAUCCACAGGCCAUGAGGAGGACAACCAGAUGCCAACCCCUUCUGGGCUCGGGCUGAGAGACAAGAAGAGCCAAGGUCUUCCCCGCUCCCCUGGGUGACCAGCUGGUCCAGGGAAACACAGACUGAGAUGAUAGCUAUUAAAUGCAAUUUAAUGCUUGUAGUGUUUAACAAUGAAAUUGCAUUUCAUUGACUUUGCCUGCCUAAAGCCAGUAACCUGAUUAUGUAUUUUAGAGGAUAACAAUACGCAGUACAGCAUCUAUGGGGGAUCUCCUUCUGAAGGUGGUAGCCAUUGUUAAUUCCCUAUUAUCUUGUUUUGAAGUCCUAUAUCAUUUUCAUUGCUUUUGUUUGGUUUUAUUCUAUUUUGUCGUGUUUGGUUUUAUUAUAUCUGAUGGCAUGGGAAGUUAUUUCAAAGAUAAUAAGAUAUACUGUGGUAGCUAUUUUGGAUUUACUAUUAUCUUGUCUUGAAGUCCUGCAUUGUGUUCACUGUUUUGUUUUUAUUGGUUCUAUUCUGUUUUGUUUGAUUUUCCUAUGUCUGAUGGUAUGGGCAACUGUUUUGAAGAUGGCAAGAAUUAUGGUGGCCAUUGUUGAUUUCUUGUUAUUUUAAAAUCCUGUAUCACUUACUCUUUAGUUUUGAUUGGCUUUAUUCUGUUUUAUUUUGCUUGGUUUUAUUCUCUUUAAAAUUAAAAAUUAAGUGUAUUUUAUAUAUGCUUACAUACAUACAUACAUACAUACAUACAUAAUACAUGCAUACACACCAGGAACUGAACCCAGGCUCUUUGUACUGAACUACAUUCUAAGCCUUUUUUUUUUUUUUUUUUUUUUUUUUGUCUUUUUCUUUUUUAUCGGUACCAGGGAUCGAACUCACGACUGCCUGCUUUCAAGGCAGACGCUUAUGCCGCUGAGCUAAAUCCCCAGCCCCUCUAAGCCUUUUUUUAAAAAAUCAUUUUUUAAAACUCUGAAACAUGGUCUUACUAAAUUGCUAAAUUGUAAUCUGGGCUUAAUCCUUCUGUCUCACCCUCCCUGAGUGCUGAGAUUGCAGGCAUAUACCACCACACUAGGCUCCAAAAGGAUGUUUUUUAGUAUUCUACUAAUGUCUCUUUUGCAGGAACAGCCAUCCCUCUGGUUGGCCAGGUAAAACGUAAUGAAACACAGAACCUUUUGCCUCUCAGUGGUUAAGGAGAUCAGUGGCACUUCAGUCAGCUGAGUUACUGCAUGUAAAAAUAUUACAAAAAAUGAUUUUCAGUAUACACAUCUGUUUACAUUUCCUCCAGUUCUGGAGUUGCAACCCAGCCACACACAAAUGGAAUUAACGUGUGUGUGUGUGUGUGUGUGUGUCUGUGUGUGUGUAGUUCUGGGUUCAAUUCCCAGAACCUCUUACAUACUAGACAAGUGCUUUACUUCCGAACUAUAUCCCCUGCAAGGAAACUAAUUUGUACCUAAUAAAGUUUGGUGCUUGAGACCUUUA